rnacentral:piRNA from 2 species
CGUGGAGAGGAACAAUUCUGAGUCUUAA